GGUGCAGAACGCGCUCGGGUAGGAGCUGGGAUCGGGAUCUGGGAUUGGGAACCAAGAGCCAGGAGCUGGGAUUGGGAGCCAAGAGCUGGGAUUGGGAUCUGGGAUCAGGACUGGGAGCUGGGAUCGGGAGCCAAGGGGCGUGGGAUCGGNNNNNNNNNNNNNNNNNNNNGGGAUCAGGAGUGGGAUCUGGGAUUGGGAACCAAGAGGUGGGAAUGGGAGUGGGAGCUGGGAUCAGGAACCAAGAGCCGGGAGCUGGGAUCGGGAUCUGGGAUUGGGAUUGGGAACCGGGAGCUGGGAUCAGGAGUGGGAGCUGGGAUCGGGAUCUAGGAUUGGGAAUCAAGAGCCAGGAGCUGGGAGCCGGGAGCCGGGAUUGGGAUCCAGGAUCAGGAGCCAAGAUCCGGGAGCUGGGAUCAGGAGUGGGAGCUGGGAUUGGGAACCAAGAGCCGGGAGCUGGGAUUGGGAUGUGGGAGCUGGGAUUGGGAUUGGGGUCUGGGAUUGGGAUCCAGGAUCGGAAUUGGGAGCCAAGAUCCGGGAGCUGGGAUCAGGGUCCUGGAGCCAGGAUCUGGAAGUUGGAAUCUGGGAUUGGGAUCCAGGAGCCAGGAUUGGGAUCUGGGAUUAGGAUGUGGCAUCAGGAUCCAGGAUUGAGAUCAGGGAACUGGGAUUUGGGUUCCAGGAGCCAGAAUUGGGAUCUGGGAUCAGGAUCUGGAUCUGAGAUCCAGGAUCAGGAUCCAAGAGCCGGGAUUGGGAUCUGGAACUGGGAUUUGGGAUCCAGGAGCCAGAAUUGGGAUCUGGGAUCAGGAUCAGGAUCCAGGAUUGGGAUCUGGGAUCCGGGAUUGGAAUCUGGGAUUGGGAUUUGGGAUGUGCUGGAGCCAGGCCGCGCUGUGAUCCUGCUGGGUCCCAGCCGGGUCUAAGGGGGUUAGGCUGGCCCAGGAGAUCCGGCUGGGACUCGGGCUGGGUUUAGGCUGGAAGGGAGGUUUAGGUGGGCCCGGGAGCGCUUUCAGGCCUGGGGAGGGUUUUAGGCGGGACUGAGAGGCUUUAGGGAGGGGCUGGAGGCUUGUGGGCAGGACUGAGCAGAGUUUUAGGCCUGGGAGGGGUUUUAGACAAGCCUGGGGUUCUUCUAAGCAGGACUGGGUGGGGUUUUAGGUGGGAUUUGGGACUUUUUAGGACUGGUGAAGAUUUAAGUCAGGCCUGAGGGGCUUUUAGGCCAGGGAGAGCUUUUAGGUGGGGCUGAGACGGGUUUUAGGCUUGGGAGAGCUUUUAGGCUGGACUGAGGGGCUUUUAGGCUGGACUGGGACAGGUUUUAGGCUUGGGAGAGCUUUUAGGCUGGACUGAGGGGCUUUUAGAACUGCUGAAGCUUUUAGGCUGGACUGGGACAGGUUUGAGGCUGGACUGGGACGGAUUUUAGGCUGGACUGGGACAGGUUUGAGGCUGGACUGGGACAGGUUUUAGGCUGGACUGGGACAGGUUUUAGGCUGGACUGGGACAGAUUUUAGGCUGGACUGGGACGGAUUUUAGGCUGGACUGGGAUGGAUUUUAGGCCGGAUUUGGGACCUUUUAGAACUGAAGAAGCUUUAAGUCAGGACUGGGGCACGUUUAGGCCUGGGAGAGAUUUCAGGGUGGACUAAGCCUGGCUCAGCCUCCUGCUCCCCCUGGAAUGUUUCUCGUGGAAUGUUUCCACUGGAAUGUUUUCCCUCCCCCGGGAUUUUUUCUCUGGAAUGUUUUUCCCCUGGAAUGUUUUUCCCCGGGAAUGUUUUUCCCUCUGUUUCUGCCUCUCGUUGCCUUCAUUAAAACCGAGUUUAAACUCCAGCCUUGGCUUUUCCUGCUCCUCCCGUCCCGUUCCUGCCGGCUCCGGGCAGGAUGGGGUUAAAUCCUUG
rnacentral:lncRNA from 1 species